UCUCUGAUCAUACUCUCUCUUUUCCCUUCUCUCUCAUCACACUCUCUACCGCCGCCUCACUCCACCGCACCGCCGCCGCCGCGCCACCCCCUCUAAUUCACAGCCGCCGCCGUUAAAAUAAGGUAGAGGGAAGUGUUGUGCAUAUUAUGAAAGCACUAGCAAGCCAUCCAUCAGCAGCAUAGAGUUUGAUAGAAGAUGAUUCACUUCAGUUGCUUUUUCAAAUGGUUGCCAAGGGAUCUUUGAUUGUUUUCUCACGUUAUAAGGAAGGACUUGUUCCAUUGCACAGUAUACAACUUCAUAGACAUGUUAUGCAGAUUGGAGCCAAUAUGUUCUUCAUGGCUAGUUGAUGGAAAAUACAAAUGUCAUUUGGUCCCCAACACAAGUCAGUUCAAGCAAUCAAUGAGUAAUGGUGCAAAGUUACCAAGACAAUGGGACCCUUGGACGAUGGUUGGUGUGCUCGAUACAUGCUAUGAUGAGGGGGUGUGAAUCAAGAUAAUAUCCACUUAGGGUCAAUGGAAUCUCUCUGUUUUUUUUACAUUGUGGUCAAACAAUUCUGUAUUUGCUUGCUGUUUUCAACCAAACAUGUAAAGGAGUCUGUAAAAUAGUGAGGGGGUGUGAAGAUAUUAUGUAUUUUUAUGGUGGUUUUUUUUAGUUCAUCAUGAUUAAUAAAAUAGAAGCUUUACAAGACUCCUGAUCAGAUUCUCCCUUAUUUUUGUAUGAAUCUGUUUCAUUAUAUUCAUGUAAAAAAAGAGAAGUUUGAUAAAUGGAACAAGCAC